GAAAAUUAAGCUGAACUGGUAUGAACCUAACAACCCAACCUUACCUUCGGAUGAAAACACUGUUAUCUCAUUGUUACUCAGAGUGGCACAGCUCUCUUUUGGCGAAGUUGUCCCCAGAUUGGAAAAUAUGAACUAAUCUGGGGAAAAUCUAGGGAAACAGGUUUCCUGGAAAAUUUCUGGGGGUUUCUUAAGUUUUCAGUGAAGAUUUGGUGAGAUUUGUAUCCAUAAUCAAAAUGUAUUAGAUAAAGAUUAAGCAAGUGUUCACAUUUAAAAAACAAAACCGUGUUUUUGGCAUGAUUUUUGCGGUAAUUUCAACACUGACAAUUUUGAUUGGCUACUGGUACUACAUUCAACCGAUCAAAACAUAAAAGAGGCAGCUGACUCCCGCCCUUGGAGGAAACCUCCAAGAUCCCGCGCCGCCCUUGUGUUUACAUUAAUGUGGAGGAGCUGACUGCUGCCCCUGUGGGCUGUGAUGCCUGAUUUGAAUGAGCCCUGGACUGGCCUGGAGCUGUGGCUGCAAAGAUGCCCCAGUGAGCUUGGAAGACGUGAAUGGAGUGGAGGGCAAUGAGUGGGUGAGUGUGUGGCGGAGUGUGCACGCUGGCGCUGCCCCGCGGCUCGCCUGUGUGAGAACCACCCACUCACACUCUAUUGAGUUGUCAAAGGAAAAUCUGCCGGUCGCUGCCGCUGCUGCACGCGGCUCCUCGCCAUCAUGUUAAGGUAUUUCACUUUACUGUGUACCUUGUGUGCCUUAAAACUCAUGCCGGCGGGGACUGGGGGUCGAGAGGGGUGCAGCGCCUUGAAGCUGUGUCAGGCCGCGUCCCCCCCGUCAAGUUUGUUGAUCAGGUUAUGAUAUUUCCUCA